rnacentral:tRNA from 1 species
AGGGAUAUGGCUCAGUGCUAGAGUACUCAUCUGGUACAUGUGAGGCCUUGAGUUUGAACCCCACCAUCACGA